rnacentral:rRNA from 1 species
GAUGAACGCUGGCGGCGUGCCUAAUACAUGCAAGUCGAGCGAACAGACGAGGAGCUUGCUCCUCUGACGUUAGCGGCGGACGGGUGAGUAACACGUGGAUAACCUACCUAUAAGACUGGGAUAACUUCGGGAAACCGGAGCUAAUACCGGAUAAUAUAUUGAACCGCAUGGUUCAAUAGUGAAAGACGGUUUUGCUGGCACUUAUAGAUGGAUCCGCGCCGCAUUAGCUAGUUGGUAAGGUAACGGCUUACCAAGGCAACGAUGCGUAGCCGAGCUGAGAGGGGGGUCGGCCACCCUGGAACUUGGCCGCGGUCCAGACUCCUACGGUACGCACCAGUAGGGAAUCUUCCGCAGUGGGCGAAAGCCUGGCGGAGCAACGCCGCGUGAGUGAUGAAGGUCUUCGGAUCGUAAAACUCUGUUAUUAGGGAAGAACAAAUGUGUAAGUAACUAUGCACGUCUUGACGGUACCUAAUCAGAAAGCCACGGCUAACUACGUG